GGGUUGUGAGGUUAAGCGACUAAGCGUACACGGUGGAUGCCCUGGCAGUCAGAGGCGAUGAAGGGCGUGCUAAUCUGCGAUAAGCGCCGGUAAGGUGAUAUGAACCGUUAUAACCGGCGAUACCCGAAUGGGGAAACCCAGUGUGACUCGUCACACUAUCAUUAACUGAAUCCAUAGGUUAAUGAGGCGAACCGGGGGAACUGAAACAUCUAAGUACCCCGAGGAAAAGAAAUCAACCGAGAUUCCCCCAGUAGCGGCGAGCGAACGGGGAGGAGCCCAGAGCCUGAAUCAGCAUGUGUGUUAGUGGAAGCGUCUGGAAAGGCGCGCGAUACAGGGUGACAGCCCCGUACACAAAAGCGCAUGUGCUGUGAGCUCGAUGAGUAGGGCGGGACACGUGGUAUCCUGUCUGAAUAUGGGGGGACCAUCCUCCAAGGCUAAAUACUCCUGACUGACCGAUAGUGAACCAGUACCGUGAGGGAAAGGCGAAAAGAACCCCGGCGAGGGGAGUGAAAAAGAACCUGAAACCGUGUACGUACAAGCAGUGGGAGCCCCACCACUAAGCCAGUGGUGAACUCCACAUACGCAUCCUUUGCUGAGGAUACGGUUAACGGAGCGCAAGCGACGUUCAACCUCAAAAGAAGCAGAGGGGGCUUAGUGGUGGGGUGACUGCGUACCUUUUGUAUAAUGGGUCAGCGACUUAUAUUCUGUAGCAAGGUUAACCGAAUAGGGGAGCCGGAGGGAAACCGAGUCUUAAU
rnacentral:rRNA from 2 species